CUCGGACUGCUGUGUUGGUGACUGCCUUUCACAGUUUCUGAUCUGACUCCCUCUUCGACGUGGGUGGUCUGUCGCGACGGUGACGUACACCGGCCUCGUUGCCGGAAACGAAGCCCCGCUUUGACUGCUCCUCUGGUACUACCAGGUCGAACACUGGGGCAAGACGGCACAGCGGUUCACCC
rnacentral:other from 18 species